UACAUGAGCAAGGCCCCACUUUGUGGCACCACCACAUACAGUGCUCUAAGCAGUUGGACAUGUAAAUAAAUAUGAAGCUUAGAGGAAAGACCAGGCCUGGAGCUAUUGAUUUUUAUGUAUAAAGUAAUAGUCACAAGUGUGAGGGUAGCAAUAUAGUGGGGCAAAGGCAGAACUUUUGGGAAUGUCUACUUUAAGGAAAUGAGACUAGGUGGGAGCAGUCAGUAAUAGAAGGAGUGUGAAAGAGAUGAUGGAACUAGAAGAAGAAAUCAUGGUGAGGAACUGGAAGCAUUACCAAGUGAAGAGACAAGCUGUUUCUUUUCAUCUGCCGAGGCUCACACAAGAAGGAGAGAACCUCCACCCCAGGAUCUGUCUAGAUAAUGAAAGAACACUCAGAACAGCUCAAGCAGCAGCAGCAGCAGCAGCAGCAGCAAUCUGGUGGUUACAAGCAUUGGUGAUUUCAUUGAUGGCUGCAGUAAGGAGAGCAGAGUCUUUAAAGAUACAAAGUGGAUUCUCUACCUUUCUUGUUUAAAAAGCCAGUAACUUUAUUAUUGAUAAGGAAACAGGGACUUCUUACCCAAGUUGUUAAAAUCAAAAAAGGAGUUGGAGGUCCUGAAGAAAAAAAUGGGCAAUAGAGGUUUGAUCUCCCCAGAAAGAAUGGAAAUAAAUUCUAAGAAGGGCCUGUUAAGGAGGAGGGAACAAAAGGGGCUGAUUUUAAAUGCUCUAUCUGGACCCAAAACCACAGCUCCAAAGGUUCUAUGAAACCACUUGCCUGAAAUAUUGUUUUGAUAAAUAAGCCAUAUCCUUGUGGAAUUGAAAUCUCCAACUGUUCUACUGGCACGGACAUCUCUGCAGUGACAGCACAUGCCACAGAUUGUGGAGUUAACUUGAAUUAAAUUUCAGAUGUGAGGGAGCUGGGGGAGGGGCUGGUGACAGUGGGAGGUUUAUGAACAGUAUGCUGUGGCUCUGAUGUUGUCAUAACCAGAUGGCUCCAACUGUAUCAUUUAGAGAAAAACAAACACCACCUAAUAAUAAUAACAAUAACAAGAAUAGGACACCUAUAUAGCAGCUUCACCUGAGAUGCUUGGAUUAUAUUGAUUCCUAUGUAAAGCUCAAACUGGAAUUUUCACAAACCUUGGAUAAUCCCAGAAGAAGAAACACAUCCUUCGGGAGUCCCAGAAUCAUGGCCUUCCAGAAGCUACACAAAUCCCUGUUUACUUGCCCAAAUAUCUAAUCUUUCAGUGAAGGAAUGAGGAAUCAAAUUCUAAAUACAGUUUGUUCACUAAGAACCACCUAAGGAAUAACAACAUAGCAUUGUUCUUGCUUCCCCCAGUGGAAAAAUCUCACCUAAGCUCAAUUUUUCUACCAAGAAUGAAGCUUCCUUAGGCUAAUUAUGGAGCCUUGGGAGAAAUGGACCAGAGUCAGACCACACAGAUUCUGGUCCUACCUCUGCCUCUUUAGUAGAUCGGGCCCUUCCUUAUCUGUAAACCUGGGAUAACAUCCCUACUCUCCCUACCUCUUGGGAAGAUCAAAUGAGAAAACACACAUGAAAGGACUUUGAGAACCUUACAACACAAUACAAAUGAUUAUUCGCUAUGCAAGAGAUAGUGUGGAUAAAUGCCAGCUAUGUAGCUGGCUUGUCCUUUGUAUCAACUUCAAAGGUUGGGGAAACAUGAAGUUACAAGUCAGAGAACUUGCAGCCUAUUCCUUUACAAAGGUACUGUUAACAAAAUGAGGUCAGACUUUAGUUCUGAUGGUGUGUGGUAGGAGAUUGUGGCAGAUUCCAAAUCUUGCCCUCGGUUAUACUGAUUAAAAAGACUAUCUAUUCA